UUUGUCUAUCAAAGAAUCGCUGCGAAUUGGGGUUAAAUCAUAUCGUACCGAUUCUGCCGGUGGUUCAACCAAAUUUGAUUUAGAAAUAGUUAGCUAGUAGGGUGCAAUCUGGUGUACGUUGGCAGUCAUCAUAUUCGGUGCAGUGGCAGUGAUUUCAUGUUGGAUAAAAAGAUGCAGAACUGUAAAGAUUGCGAUAAUGCGUUUUCCCCUUGAAGCAGUAAUGGAGGCGGAGCGUUUUUUGUUCUUUUUCGUCUUAUUGCGCUGUAAUAGAUUGAAAUAUACUAAACGGUACUAAUAAUCAAGUGGGUAAACUAACAA